ensembl:lncRNA
CAUCAUUGAAGCUUGGCCGUGCAUGGAUAAGUAAAAGGUGACCUUGUGGUGGCAGUGGUUUGGACUUUUGUGAACAGGCACAAUUUGUCAAACAAAAGAUACUGUAUGUGUAACCCAUGUUCCUUUUCCUUUACAUAAUGUUAAAGCACUACUUGAAUUUUGGUCUAUUUUUCCUCAUUUCUUUUUUAUUAUGGUAAAUAUUUAAGUAGUAAUCCCAUUUAUAGAACCAACAACUACAACAGAACCAACAUAGACCAACGGCCAACAUCAGCAGAACAGAUUAUUAUUGUCCUUUGUAUUUGUUUUCUCCUGAUUGUGGUUGCUGCUCUAUUAGUUUGCACUUCAACACACUGGAAAAGGGAAGCUUUGGGAUGUGAGUUAAAAGCAAAACAUUAUAAUAAACCUCAGACGGUUGUUAUUGUAAAUGAGUAUACACAUGUGAACGUUGGUAAAUCCAGUGAAUAGCUGAUGGAGGAAGUUAUUUACAGUGACCUGGUGAGCCUAUAGGGCCUGACACCAAACCUUCAAUAGCCACAGAGAUUACUGCCAGCACUGGAAUCGGAAAUUCUGAAGUUUCAAAUGAUUUAUAAUGCACAAAUAUGCAUGUUUUUAGUAUUGGAAUCCUUUUAACUUUAAUGUGUUUGUAAUGAGGCUACUAAAGGUGUAAAUAAAUAUGUUAGAUUUCUAUCAAUUUAAAUGGC